GGUCGUAGCUCAGCUGGAUAGAGCGUUGGACUCCGACUCCAAAGGCCAGAGGUUCGAAUCCCCCCGGCCG
rnacentral:tRNA from 2 species